rnacentral:tRNA from 1 species
GCUCCCUUCGUCUAAUGGUUAGGACGCCAGAUUUUCAAUCUGGAAACACGGGUUCGAUUCCCGUAGGGAGCGCCA